GGAAAAAAUCAUCUGACUCAUCGGUGAACGAUCAAGUAGCUAAAUCAGGGAGCUAAUUGAUGGAUCCAAGCUUAUAUCACUGCCAUGUUUGCAGAAUGCAGCACUAGGAAACAUAUGUACAUCUGAAUGUACACACUUGGAACCAAGACUUGUCAUUCUUUUAAUAUCAGAAGCAGUGAAUAAAUAGUAAUUUGACCUGUAAGUGCUGAC
rnacentral:misc_RNA from 1 species